AGGCUUGACAUGUGGUGAGUAGCGAACCGAAAGGGGAGCGACCCGUCAAAUCGGGCCAUCACACAGGUGCUGCAUUGGCUGUCGUCAGCUCGUGCCGUGAGGUGUUGGGUUCAGUCCCGCAACGAGCGCAACCCUCGCCCUUUGUUGCCAUCGGGUAAAGCCGGGCACUCUAAGGGGACUGCCAGCGACAAGUUGGAGGAAGGAGAGGAUGACGUCAAGUCAUUCAUGGCCUUUAUGCCUAGGGCCACACACGUGCAACAAUGGCCGGUACAGACGGAGGCAAUGCCGAGAGGCGGAGCAAACCCGAGAAAAACCGGUCCCAGUU
rnacentral:rRNA from 1 species